CAUCCCGGAAUGCAAAGCAUUUGCAAUGAGUCACAGCUGCAGAGGUGCCAGCAAGAGCUGUUCCAGGCUUAAGUAAGACAGGGAAGCGGGGAGAGAGGUCAGAGGUCUCAGCUGCACAGUUUGUGUCAAAGGCUGGACCCAGGAAAGAGGAGCUGUAGCACUGGCUGAAACGAGGAAAGAAAACGCUGGCUGGAAUGAAGAUGACCCCCAGGGCAACCCUGAAAGCUUGAAAGCCACCAGUUAUAAACAGCAGAGCCUCCGUCAGCCCGGGUGCCCAAAUGAAGGAGGCACUCUGCUGGCCUGUGAGGUGCACCUGGUACUGUUACCUGAACAAGAAAUAAACUCUACGGUAUUUGAGCCAUCAUACAUUUUAAGGUUUCUGGAAUGCUUUUCCAUCAACUUACUCCACCUCUUCUGAUCUAACCAGUCGUCAGUUUGGAAACCCUAAGUUGGAUGACCUCUAUUACACUUCUGAUAUUUAUUAGGUAAACAUUUUUAAGUAUAUUGCUGUUUGCCUUUGUGUUUAUUUUCUGCCAUAAGUUUUCAGUGGCUACCUAUGAGGUAGGCACAGUUUCAGUCACUGGGCAUGGAUCAGUGAGCAAAACUGGCAAAAUCAUGUUUCUGACAAUUUCUACUGAAGGAUGUAGUGGUAGAUGAAUGACAUUUUAUAUGACAAAUAAUUGAACGUGGUUUAGUCCAAUAAACUUAAUUCUAGUGCUUCUCGAGUUCAAAGCCCUGAGCUUGGCAUAUGGUUCUGAAAGAAAAGUGAACUUUUCUGUUGGCUGCUUUUCCUUUUCUCCUUUCUUCCCCUUCAGUUGUCCCAGAAAUCUC